GCAUGGCAGAAUUCCAGAUGCCAUUUGCCAUUGGUUUCUCUGGUCAGACACCAUGCCAUAAAAAUGUUGACACUGAUCAGACCUUAUACUUCCUACAGCAGUAUUGUGUUGUAGGAAGUACUGACUGUUGCUACAUUU
rnacentral:snoRNA from 1 species